rnacentral:rRNA from 1 species
GACGAACGCUGGCGGCGUGCUUAACACAUGCAAGUCGAACGGAAAGGCCCUGCUUUUGUGGGGUGCUCGAGUGGCGAACGGGUGAGUAACACGUGAGUAACCUGCCCUUGACUUUGUGAUAACUUCAGGAAACUGGGGCAAAUACCGGAUAGGCUCUCCUGCUGCAUGGUGGGGGUGGGAAAUUUUCGGCGGUUGGGGAUGGACUCGCGGCUUAUCAGCUUGUUGGUGGGGUAGUGGCUUACCAAGGCUUUGACGGGUAGCCGGCCUGAGAGGGUGACCGGCCACAUUGGGACUGAGAUACGGCCCAGACUCCUACGGGAGGCAGCAGUGGGGAAUAUUGCACAAUGGGCGGAAGCCUGAUGCAGCAACGCCGCGUGCGGGAUGACGGCCUUCGGGUUGUAAACCGCUUUCGCCUGUGACGAAGCGUGAGUGACGGUAAUGGGUAAAGAAGCACCGGCUAACUACGUG